GAUGAACGCUGGCGGCGUGCUUAACACAUGCAAGUCGAACGGCAAAGGCGGAGAUUGUUCCGAUGGCUCAUUGGCGAACGGGUGCGUAACACGAAAGCAAUCUGAACCUGACUUUGGGAUCAGCGCAGGAAACGGAGACUAAUACUGGAUACGAGCUGCGAAGGCAUCUUCAGCAGGUGGAAAGCGGGGCGGUCAGGGAUGAGCUCGCGGCCUAUCAGCUUGUUGGUGGGGUAAUGGCUCACCAAGGCGUCGACGGGUAGCUGGCCUGAGAGGGUGACUGGCCACACGGGGACAGAGCCACGGGACGGAGUCGUGCGGAAGACAGGAGAAGGGAAGUUUGCACAAUCGACGAAAGUCGGGUGCAGCAACACCGCGUGAUGGAUGACAACCUGCUUGUAGGAAAGCUCAUAUUGCAGGGAAGGUGCGAUUUUGACGGUACCGGAAGAAUAAGCACCGGCUAACUCCGUG
rnacentral:rRNA from 1 species